rnacentral:rRNA from 1 species
AAUCAACGCUGGCGGCGUGCCUCAGACAUGCAAGUCGAACGAUUAAAGCUCUCUUCGGAGAGUGUAUAGAGUGGCGCACGGGUGAGUAACACGUAAGUAAUCUACCCUCGAGUGGGGAAUAACAACCGGAAACGGUUGCUAAUACCGCAUAAUGCAGCGGCACCGCAAGGUGACAGUUGUUAAAGAUUUAUCGCUUGAGGAGGAGCUUGCGGCAGAUUAGCUAGUUGGUAGGGUAACGGCUUACCAAGGCUACGAUCUGUAACCGGUCUAAGAGGACGGUCGGUCACACUGACACUGAAUAACGGGUCAGACUCCUACGGGAGGCAGCAGUCGGGAAUUUUGGGCAAUGGGCGAAAGCCUGACCCAGCAACGCCGCGUGAAGGAUGAAGUAUUUCGGUAUGUAAACUUCGAAAGAAUAGGAAGAAUUAAUGACGGUACUAUUUAUAAGGUUCGGCUAACUACGUGCCAGCAGCCGCGGUAAU